rnacentral:lncRNA from 1 species
GAAACAAAUAGAGUAAAUUACUAGAUAACCCAAUAAUAUAGGUCAACAUUACAUCAGUUACACAGUGCAGUAUCCAAAUGGUAGUAGACCUAGUUCGAUCGUUUCCGUUACUGUAUGUUCUAGAAACUGGAAACAGCUCACCAGUGCAGCAACCAAACUUUACAGUAUAGAUACUAAAUUUUAUUCUCCAGGAAAAACAUACUAACACCUAACAAAUGUACUCCAUGAAACUUGAGAGCCCGCCGUUCUGAAUUAUUUCCAAAUGCUAAUGGGAGAAACCAUGUUCAAUAGAUGAUAAGAUCGCAGCACAGGUAUCAGAAGGAAACUGUAUCACAUUUUCAUCAUGGUUGUCAUUUAGGAGAAAAUGUAGGUAACACAGAAUUUCUUGUUUCAAACAAUCACUACUAGGUCCCUAUAGCAAUUUGAUAAGAAAAGAAGCAACGGGUGAUGCUUGAAACAUGUCAAAAGAAGAUUAAAUAUUGACUUGACAAAUGUGAGGGAGAUCAAGGUGUCAUAUCUCAAGGAAGUGAAGAAUGACACUGACCACACUAGACAAGCAAAAUCGAAAAUGACAGGUAACAAGGAUAUAUGGAGAAGGAUUAAGUAUGGCCACUGUACACCCCUAUCUGUUGUAAAACAAUAAUAUGAAUAUUACCAUAGGAAAAUUUAAAUUCAUGAUUCAGAUAAUUGAUACCUUAUAGCUACCACAUAGGCACACACAAAAAACAUAUAUCUAUCAUCUACAGCUAAAGAAACUAGUCUAGGAUCAAGAGAUUAAGCUAAUAAAUCUACUCAAGGAUUGAGAAAUUAAGACCCAAUUUAUUCCUUUGCUGCUGCUAUUGCAAGCACUCAACUAACACAAACAGUGCUGCAAUAAUAUGCAAACCCUGCAGCACUAGAAACUGGGUUCAGUUCCAAAGCCUACAAAUAAAAACCUUUAUGUUUUUUUUAUUAUCAACAAACCAUUAAGGUUUUGACAGCUGAGUUGUCUUUCUAGACGGAAAUACCCAACUUAUUAUCUAACCCGAUUAAAAAACGAUUAAUGCAGUGUUGUUUCAUGAUAAAGGCAAGGCGCACUGCUUUACUGAAAGCAAUAGUUCAGACAAAGUACAGGUAACUGGCUGGGGUCACAAGCUUACAGAAUAUGAUUGUAUGUACGGUCCUGAACACUGAUCAAUUAUUUAUUUCGACCAGCAAAUAGCAAUGUCGACAUGGGCGUCACAGUCCAUAUGCACAAAUAACAAUGAAGUGAGGCCAGGACUCAAGACCGCACCCUGACUCCCUGAGGAGACCGCCAGCAAAGGAGUCAAGGGACGCUGAACCUGGCCAGUACCCUAGCAAACAGCAAACCCUCCCUGUCAGGGCGGAUGCAGCGAGGCCCCUUCCGCAAAUGCCAAAUCGUACGCCCGAUAGUUGACACAGGGGCACUGGGACCGCGAUUUCACGCGGGGAAAACAUUGCCGUGAUCGACUGAUGCCGCAUUGGUGGUAACCACUGCAGCAGCAAGCGCAGGAACAGAGAUCAAUCCACCCGCUCCCCCACCAAAAUGGCUAAUCAAUUCGGCUGGGGAGGGAGGCCAACCAGAUGGAUCGCGAUUAGCAAUGCGAGGUAACAUCGUAGGCCGGAUUCGUACGCGCGAGGCUAGGUGUGAGGGUGCGGCCAAUUAAUUCGAAAUUAACAUCGGGAGGGGAGAGGGAGAGGGAGAGAGGGAGGGAGGGGAGGGGGGAACCAAUACCGUGAUCACGCGCGGGGUUAGAGCAGGGCGUUGGCGGCGCGGCGGCGAGAAACGGCGGCCGGCGGGAGGAAGGAGGCGGGCGGCGAGAGCGCUUUUUGGUUGCGCCUCUCUCUUCCUCGGGGCGGAGCAGGGGGGCGCCGUCGUUUCGGCCAGGG